GUGAGUCAUCGAAUCUUUGAACGCACCUUGCGCCCUCUGGUAUUCCGGAGGGCAUGCCUGUUUGAGUGUCAUGAACAGCUCUCAACCCUCCGAUGCUUUCUUUUUGUAUGGGAAGGGUUGGUAGUGAGCGCUGCCGGACCCUGGAUCGGCUCGCUUUAAAAUCAUUAGCAGGAUCCAUUCUGACCUGGUUCUACUCGGCGUGAUAAGUUGUUAUCGUCGAGGACGCCGGCCUUCUGGGCAGGCGGCCACAGUAAGGGUGUUUGAACCGCUUCCAACGUGUCUUGCUCUUGUAGCACGCGAACGCCUUGAACCUCUGACCUCAAAUCAGGCAGGACUACCCGCUGAACUUAAGCAUAUCAAUAAGCGGAGG
rnacentral:rRNA from 1 species